rnacentral:rRNA from 1 species
UACAGAGGUCUCAAGCGUUGUUCGGAUUCAUUGGGCGUAAAGGGUGCGUAGGUGGCGGGGUCAGUCAGGUGUGAAAUCUCGGGGCUCAACCUCGAAACUGCACUUGAUACUGCCUUGCUGGAGUACUGGAGAGGAGAUUGGAAUUUACGGUGUAGCAGUGAAAUGCGUAGAUAUCGUCUGGAACGCCGAAGGUGAAAACAGCUCGCUGGGGUUGUGCUGACGCUGAGACACGAAAGCCAGGGGAGCGAACGGG